rnacentral:misc_RNA from 1 species
CCAAUUAUAUAUAUGUUAGUUUGCGUAUCUCUGUCAAAGGGGGUCGCAUAACUAUACUAUGUAAACGUUGAACUAGAUCAAUUGGUGUGGAUUGCUUGGGAAUGGACGAAGCGAUGAGCCUCUUCCGGACAGGCAAGCCCCACACUGAUAACCUUUUUCAUAUCAUUUACCCGUAUAUACUACCACAACAACAAAAACAAAAGCUAUAAUAGGACUUAUUAACGGCUGAGUGGGUAACAUCCCUCGGCUUAAACAUAUAACUAUUA